AUUGAACGCUGGCGGCAUGCUUUAUACAUGCAAGUCGAACGGUAACAGGCCUUCGGGUGCUGAUGAGUGGCGAACGGGUGAGUAAUGCAUCGGAACGUACCCAGAGGUGGGGGAUAACGCAGCGAAAGCUGUGCUAAUACCGCAUGUGAUCUGAGGAUGAAAGCGGGGGACCGAGUAGCAAUGUUUGGCCUCGCGCCUUUGGAGUGGCCGAUGUCGGUUUAGCUAGUUGGUGGGGUAAAGGCCUACCAAGGCGACGAUCCGUAGCUGGUCGGAGAGGACGGCCAGCGACACUAGGGCUGGGACGGGGCCCAGGCGCCUGCGAGAGGCACCAGUGGGGAAUUUUGGGCAGUAGGCGCGAGCCUGGUCCAACAGUGGCGCGUGCGAGAAGGCAGCCUUCGGGGUGGGAACCGCUUUUGGCAGGAACGAAACGGUGUCCGCUAAUACCAGGCGCUAAUGACGGUACCUGCAGAAUAAGCACCGGCUAACUACGUG
rnacentral:rRNA from 1 species